rnacentral:rRNA from 1 species
CAGCCGCCGCGGUAAUACGGAGGGUGCAAGCGUUAAUCGGAAUUACUGGGCGUAAAGCGUGCGUAGGCGGCUUCUUAAGUCGGAUGUGAAAUCCCUGAGCUUAACUUAGGAAUUGCAUUCGAUACUGGGAAGCUAGAGUAUGGGAGAGGAUGGUAGAAUUCCAGGUGUAGCGGUGAAAUGCGUAGAGAUCUGGAGGAAUACCGAUGGCGAAGGCAGCCAUCUGGCCUAAUACUGACGCUGAGGUACGAAAGCAUGGGGAGCAAACAGGAUUAGAUACCCCAGUAGUCCCUGUCUCUUAUAC